UACGUAGGGUGCGAGCGUUAAUCGGAAUUACUGGGCGUAAAGCGUACGCAGGCGGUCUGUUAAGACCGAUGUGAAAUCCCCGGGCUUAACCUGGGAACUGCAUUGGUGACUGGCAGGCUUUGAGUGUGGCAGAGGGAGGUAGAAUUCCACGUGUAGCAGUGAAAUGCGUAGAGAUGCGGAGGAACACCGAUGGCGAAGGCAGCCCCCUGGGCUAACACUGACGCUCAGGCACGAAAGCGUGGGGAGCAAACAGG
rnacentral:rRNA from 1 species